GGUCUUAGCUUGCUAAGACUGAUGGCGACCGGCGCACGGGUGCGUAACGCGUAUGCAACUUGCCUCACAGAGGGGGAUAACCCGUCGAAAGACGGACUAAUACCGCGUACACUUACAGGAGGGCAUCCUCCAGUAAGGAAAUGAAAUUCGCUGUGAGAUAGGCAUGCGUCCCAUUAGCUAGUUGGUGAGGUAACGGCUCACCAAGGCGACGAUGGGUAGGGGAACUGAGAGGUUGAACCCCCACACUGGUACUGAGACACGGACCAGACUCCUACGGGAGGCAGCAGUGAGGAAUAUUGGUCAAUGGGCGAGAGCCUGAACCAGCCAAGUCGCGUGAAGGAUGACUGUCUUAUGGAUUGUAAACUUCUUUUAUACGGGAAUAACAAGAGUCACGUGUGGCUCCCUGCAUGUACCGUAUGAAUAAGCAUCGGCUAACUCCGUGCCAGCAGCCGCGGUAAUACGGAGGAUGCGAGCGUUAUCCGGAUUUAUUGGGUUUAAAGGGUGCGUAGGCGGCCUGUUAAGUCAGCGGUGGAAUCUAGGAGCUUAACUCCUAAAUUGCCAUUGAUACUGGCGGGCUUGAGUGUAGAUGAGGUAGGCGGAAUGCGUGGUGUAGCGGUGGAAUGCAUAGAUAUCACGCAGAACUCCGAUUGCGAAGGCAGCUUACUAAGGUACAACUGACGCUGAAGCACGAAAGCGUGGGUAUCAAACAGGAUUAGAUACCCUGGUAGUCCACGCAGUAAACGAUGAUAACUGGGCGUAUGCGAUAUACAGUAUGCUCCUAAGCGAAAGCGUUAAGUUAUCCACCUGGGGAGUACGCCGGCAACGGUGAAACUCAAAGGAAUUGACGGGGGCCCGCACAAGCGGAGGAACAUGUGGUUUAAUUCGAUGAUACGCGAGGAACCUUACCCGGGAUUGAAAUGUAGAUGACCGCUCCUGAAAGGGAGUUUUCCUUCGGGACAUCUAUGUAGGUGCUGCAUGGUUGUCGUCAGCUCGUGCCGUGAGGUGUCGGCUUAAGUGCCAUAACGAGCGCAACCCCUGUCUACGGUUGCCAUCAGGUAAUGCUGGGAACUCCGUAGAGACUGCCGUCGUAAG
rnacentral:rRNA from 1 species